GGGAAUAGAGGAAGGGAACGGGGAAGGGAACGGGGUCAUUCCCCAUUCCCUUCCUCUAUUCCCCGUUUUAAAGA